GACGAACGCUGGCGGCGUGCCUAAUACAUGCAAGUAGAACGCUGAAGGAGGAGCUUGCUUCUCUGGAUGAGUUGCGAACGGGUGAGUAACGCGUAGGUAACCUGCCUGGUAGCGGGGGAUAACUAUUGGAAACGAUAGCUAAUACCGCAUAAUAUUGACUAUUGCAUGAUAGUCAGUUGAAAGGUGCAACUGCACCACUACCAGAUGGACCUGCGUUGUAUUAGCUAGUUGGUGGGGUAACGGCUCACCAAGGCGACGAUACAUAGCCGACCUGAGAGGGUGAUCGGCCACACUGGGACUGAGACACGGCCCAGACUCCUACGGGAGGCAGCAGUAGGGAAUCUUCGGCAAUGGACGGAAGUCUGACCGAGCAACGCCGCGUGAGUGAAGAAGGUUGUCGGAUCGUAAAGCUCGGUUGUAAGAGAAGAACGAGUGUGAGAGUGGAAAGCUCACACUGUGACGGUAUCUUACCAGAAAGGGACGGCUAACUACGUG
rnacentral:rRNA from 1 species